rnacentral:rRNA from 1 species
UACGAAGGGGGCUAGCGUUGCUCGGAAUCACUGGGCGUAAAGGGUGCGUAGGCGGGUCUUUAAGUCAGGGGUGAAAUCCUGGAGCUCAACUCCAGAACUGCCUUUGAUACUGAGGAUCGUUGAGUUCGGGAGAGGUGAGUGGAAUUGCGAGUGGUAAGAGGUGAAAUUCGUUAGAUAUUCGCAAGAACACCAGUGGCGAAGGCGGCUCACUGGCCCCGAU